GAUGAACGCUGGCGGCGUGCCUAAUACAUGCAAGUCGAGCGAACGGACGAGAAGCUUGCUUCUCUGAUGUUAGCGGCGGACGGGUGAGUAACACGUGGAUAACCUACCUAUAAGACUGGGAUAACUUCGGGAAACCGGGGCUAAUACCGGAUAAUAUUUUAAACCGCAUGGUUCAAAAGUGAAAGACGGUUUGGCUGUCACUUUUAGAUGGAUCCGCGCUGCAUUAGCUAGUUGGUAAGGUAACGGCUUACCAAGGCAACGAUGCAUAGCCGACCUGAGAGGGUGAUCGGCCACACUGGAACUGAGACACGGUCCAGACUCCUACGGGAGGCAGCAGUAGGGAAUCUUCCGCAAUGGGCGAAAGCCUGACGGAGCAACGCCGCGUGAGUGAUGAAGGUCUUCGGAUCGUAAAACUCUGUUAUUAGGGAAGAACAUAUGUGUAAGUAACUGUGCACAUCUUGACGGUACCUAAUCAGAAAGCCACGGCUAACUACGUG
rnacentral:rRNA from 1 species